GUUAUUGUGAUAACGCGAGGGCGGGACCAGCUCGGGGUAUUUCGCUGCGCGAGCGAGGAAAUGAAGGAAGGAGGAAACACGGAGGGAACAAACGGGGAGGAGUGAAAUAAACAGAUGGUCAUACACUGUGGAAUCAGGAUAACAUUUGGUAUGAAGAAUGGGUGGCUUUGGGACCAGUUCAGAUAUGUUGGACUUCAGCUGCCAUAAUUCCUAAUCUACAUGCUGUGCUGUCUAGAAGCUAUUUUGGUAUCAACACAUUUGGAACCCAUCGCUCGGGGAAAACUGCUUUGGGGGCUGCUAACGUGGGCUUUCCUUUCUGCUUCCAAUCUCAUUAAUCUCAGUCAUGAUGUUAAGUUGAAGAAAUUCCUUGAGAUAUCUGUGGGCAGGUGAUUGUAGGACUUGACUUGGACAACCUCACUUCAAAUAUUUCCAUUUUCCAUUAGCCUUCUUGCCCUUUAACUGCCAUUUUGUGGAGAAGAUACAGAGCACAUUUUUGCAGCAGUCAUAUAAGCACCCUUGUAAAUGGUCUAUUAAUCAGUUUAAAUGCAUACCUAUGAACAACCAUAGGUUGCACUCCCUUUCUGAUACUGGCUCAUACUGGCUAUGGUUGCUAGGCAACCAACAUGCAUUUUCCAUCCCUUGGAGCUGGUAAAAUAGCCACCUAGCAUGGCUGCUCUUUACAACAGAAUGUCACAAAAGGAGGGAGCACUACUAAGGAAGUUAAGUAAUCCAGGUUAUGAGUUGGGAGCCUGUUCCUGUUGACAGAAACCCACUUAUGAUGUCAAUGGUGUCAUCUAACUAGCAUUCAGAAAGUGAUGCUGAAACAUUAAAAUGUCAGAAACCUGAAGCAGCUCUUCUACAUCAAGGUAACGCAGGAGGCAAAUGCAAAGCAUCAAUGGUUGCAGGAAAGAAACUCAACUAACGUUUCACAAUCUGGACUUUUUCAGAUGCUUUGACUGGAGUAAGAACAAGAUCUAUAGCCUGACACGUUUAGAGAGUGCCAAAUAUGACUGAAGUAACUUGAGGAAAUGGCUGGAAAUACAGUAAACUGGAAGUCAGGGGAGCCAUGAAGACUCUGAUGAU